rnacentral:rRNA from 1 species
UACGUAGGUGGCAAGCGUUGUCCGGAUUUAUUGGGUUUAAAGGGUGCGUAGGCGGUCCUAUAAGUCAGUGGUGAAAGCUCCGGGCUUAACUUGGAAACUGCCAUUGAUACUGUAUAUCUUGAAUGUCGUUGAGGUUAGCGGAAUGUUGCAUGUAGCGGUGAAAUGCUUAGAUAUGUUACAGAACACCAAUUGUGAAGACAGCUAACUAAGCGAUGAUUGACGCUGAGGCACGAAAGCGUGGGGAGCAAACAGG